rnacentral:rRNA from 1 species
UACGUAGGGGCCGAGCGUUGUCCGGAUUUAUUGGGCGUAAAGAGCGUGUAGGCGGCUUGGUAGGUCCGCUGUGAAAACUCGAGGCUCAACCUCGAGAUGUCGGCGGAAACCACUUGGCUAGAGUCCGGAAGAGGAGAGUGGAAUUCCUGGUGUAGCGGUGAAAUGCGCAGAUAUCAGGAAGAACACCUAUGGCGAAGGCAGCUCUCUGGGACGGUACUGACGCUGAGACGCGAAAGCGUGGGGAGCGAACAGG